AAUGUGGAAGUUGUGUUAGUUCCACACAAGCGAACCUCCGAAUGCCAACAUCUGUUGGAGCCUCGAGCAUGUUCGAUGGCAACUCGUUUUUACAGGACACACAAGAAAAUUCCCUCUGUUAUAACAUUUUUAGAGCUCUGUUCGGCUUUGGAGCACUCAAACAGUUUUUGCCAUGUCCGCCAAAGAGGGUUCGUACUUCAGUUUGUCGUUGAUUCUGCAAGAGUACGGCUUAGGGACCGGAUAUAUCAGAACGGUUUGUUACGUGAAAUAUUUCAAACGUCAAUUGCUGUAGUAAUAAACAUACAUGGGCAAACAUUUUUAUAGGAAAUUAAAUAUUAAUUCAGUAGAUUAAACAAAUCCACCUAAAAUACACAAAAAUAAUAAUGAAAAGUGAGAAUUAUAUGUUAUGUGUGACAAAAUGUGAAAGAGAAAUGAUCACAAAAUCGGAAUUGUUUGGAUCUCAAAUAGUUCCCUCCAUUAUAUUAAUGGAAAAUGAGUUUUAAAUGCUAAUAACCCGCAAAACAAUGGAUAUGUGCAAGCAUAAGACACCCAAAGUUCUGUCCAAGAAUAUUUCCUUUGAGGGCUAUUUGUAUUGCAGCAGCAGUAGCCGUAGCGGAGUUCGGCAAAUUCUUCACAAACAAAAUAAGAAAUAUAAAUUCAAAUUUAAAUUACUGAAAAUGUUAGUAUCGCAUUUGCCACCUGACUGACUCACCAUUGCGUAUGAAACGAUUAUCUUGAAGAGUGGAUAGCCCAAGAACUAAUCUGGCUCGUAUAACUAGUCCUACCCAAAAGGAUUAAAACGGAAUACGAAUGUCAUACGAGGGUCAGUGCGCGCCAGUCGAACGUCUAAUCCUACACGAAAUUGACGUUUGAUUGGAGGAAAAUCAACCCCACUGUCACCUACGUGGAUUAAACAGGAACAGGAGGCCGUCCAAAGGACACACCACCCCCGAAGCAGCCAACUCACACAACGACAAAUGUCGCCAUCAUCGGCCUCGAUGCUGCCGCCACCCCAGCAGCAGCAGCAACUCCGACCGCGACGACUGCUGCCUGGAGAACGAGCCGGCUGCAUCUCUCGAGGCGACAAAUGGUGCCAUUUUCUCUAUGGAUGAAGGCAAUCAGACAGCGGAGACAGCUUUCUUUGCCGGGAGCCUGGGCAUGGGCUACAGGCAGUGCCACAGCGCGGAGCAGUUGAGUGCAUAAGACUUGAAAAUAUGGUUUCAGCAAAUCGAGGAAUUUGGCUUCCAGCCUCAAGGCGAGCACCUGAUCACCGGAUGUGAUGGAUCCGCAACCAGCAGGAGAAGAACGAGGAGCACGAGCACCACGAGGCACACUCUUUCCACACACACACACACACACAUAUAGUAUAGACGCCAUACAUCCACAUCAACAUAAACAUGCUCUUAGACCGCUCGACUGUGUGUCCGUUGUCGACUCGGAUGACGUCCACAAUUAUUACC
rnacentral:sRNA from 1 species